CAGCCGUAAACUAUGCGCGUUAGGUGUACUGGUGACCACGAGUCACCGGGGUGCCGAAGGGAAACCGUGAAACGUGCCGCCUGGGAAGUACGGUCGCAAGGCUGAAACUUAAAGGAAUUGGCGGGGGGAGGCACCACAACGGGUGGAGCCUGCGGUUUAAUUGGACUCAACGCCGGAAUCUCACCGGAUAGGACAGACAUAUGAUAGUCGGGCUGAAGACUCUACUUGAUGAUCUGAGAGGUGGUGCAUGGCGUCAGU
rnacentral:rRNA from 1 species